rnacentral:rRNA from 1 species
UACGAAGGGGGCAAGCGUUGUUCGGAAUUACUGGGCGUAAAGCGUGCGCAGGCGGUUGUGCAAGACAGAUGUGAAAUCUCCGGGCUUAACUCGGAACGGUCAAGUGAUACUGUCGUGCUAGAGUACAGAAGGGGCAACUGGAAUUCUCGGUGUAGCGGUGAAAUGCGUAGAUAUCAGGAGGAACACCGGUGGCGAAGGCGGGUCUCUGGGCCGAUACUGACGCUGAGGAGCGAAAGCGUGGGGAGCGAACAGG